rnacentral:lncRNA from 1 species
AAAUAAUUCUUUCAUGCCAUGCUCUAUGCUCAUUUUAACAUGGGUAGGCAUUAUAUUUGUUAAUAUCUUAAUACCGAGCGUUAGCGAGGUAUUAAAUGUUUACAAAUAUAAUGCCUACCCAUGUUAAAAUGAGCAUAGAGCAUGGCAUGAUAGAAUUGUUUCGAUUCUAAUAGGAAUAUUUUGAACUUUUGUACUUCGAAGCGGACCUAUAGUAGACGCUCGAAAUGUCGCCAUUUUGAUUUGAUGAACAAAAACGUUAUAGAAAAAUCAACAGUUUAUCAAUAAAAAAAGAACAGAAACAUUUAAACUUACUUUUAGAAUGUUUUUAUUUACUUUCGUAGCGAGCAACACCAACAAAAAUGUCCAUUUUGAUCUCUGGCGUUGUUCAAAAUUCAUCUGACGUUGCAAUUUCAAUUGUGACGUCAAUCACGUGCAGCCCA